GCCAACACACACGUCGUUUUCAUUUGAAGGCGAGGCGGCAAAAAGAGGCGAGGAGAGCCGAGUGAGGAGGUGAGAGUGACGGGGAGGUUUGUGGGGCAAACUGCGCUGCGCUCUGCGGAGAGGCGAAACAAAAGCAAAGAUUAAAAGUGGAGAAACUGAAGGCCUUAAUGCUCCCAGAGGAGCGGGGGAGGAGGAGGAGGAGGCGGAGGGGAGACACACCCGAGAGCCACUUUCACACGUCUGACCUUUGACCUGUGAGCUGAUAAUCCUACGGAGCUCGUUCAAGAUGCAGAGACACGCUCAGAAAACAGAGGUCCUGAAAUCCGCAGAUGCCUCAGCCGCUCAUCAUCAUUAUGCAUCGUCCUCACACACAAGGUAAAUCAUCAUGAGCCACAAAACAUCUCAAGACCAGGUGAAAGCCUGAGUUUAUACAAUUUGUUCCUGAAACAUGUUGUUCAUUAUUUGUCUUUGUCCAAAUAAUGAAUAAAUACAUUUGCAUGGGGAAAAAAAAAGACAGAAAAUAAUGUGGCCAGGUAUGAUCACUCAUUACUGAUAUUACUAGUUGUGUUUAUAUUUAUUAAUUUCCCAAAUAAAUCCCACAUGAUAUCAAUCAUUUACAGAUACAAAUAGUUGUUAUAAACAGCCAAUCAGAUCAUUGGAAAACCAGAGUCAUCACCCUAUGGAUCUUUUGUUAAAAUUCUUCUACUUAUUUAUGUUAUAUCCUUGUACCUCAGCAUUAUUUCUAUCCUAUUCCUAUGUGGACUUCAGAGUAAUUACCAAAACACUGCGGUACCUCUACAUGACACAUGCCCUCACCCCUCUGCUACUCUGUGCCUUGUCAUAAUCAUCCUGCCUAACAUCCAGAGUUUCUCCUCUUGGCAUUUUCCACAAUACACCAACCUUUUACAGCUUUUACCUAUAGCACAAUGUUGCUGUUGUGUUUUUUUUUAAUGUCUGAGAAGCAGAAUUGAGUGGAGCUGAUUGGCGUGAACUCCUUUGACAACGGCUUGAGUGAAAGUGGCAUUUAUGUAUAUUUAAAAGUUAUGCAGAUCAAACGGCAGAAGAGGCAGCGGGUCAGCGUGUAUCUUUAACAGUUUUCAAUUAGAGGAACAUUUGCAGAAAACUAAAAUCAGUGAGCUGAAAAGAUUCAAAACACGAACGGCUGAAAUCGACCAAACACCGACACGGGGGGAGCCAAGAACAAGAAAGAAGAGGAAAGCGUGGUGUCAGUGCUGAUUCAGCAUUCACACGCUCAGAACUGUUUUACAUUUGUGUGAAAGUAAUGUGAAUAAUAAAAAGGUUUACAGUG